AACUCGACUGCGUGAAGCUGGAAUCGCUAGUAAUCGCGGAUCAGCAUGCCGCGGUGAAUACGUUCCCGGGCCUUGUACACACCGCCCGUCACACCACGAGAGUUUGCAACACCCGAAGUCGGUGAGGUAACCUUUAUGGAGCCAGCCGCCGAAGGUGGGGCAGAUGAUUGGGGUGAAGUCGUAACAAGGUAGCCGUAUCGGAAGGUGCGGCUGGAUCACCUCCUUUCUAAGGA
rnacentral:rRNA from 1 species